AUUGAACGCUGGCGGAAUGCUUUACACAUGCAAGUCGAGCGGCAGCACGGGGGCAACCCUGGUGGCGAGCGGCGAACGGGUGAGUAACACAUCGGAACAUGCCCAGUCGUGGGGGAUAACACUUCGAAAGAAGUGCUAAUACCGCAUACGUCCUGAGGGAGAAAGCGGGGGAUCGCAAGACCUCGCGCGAUUGGAGUGGCUGAUGUCAGAUUAGCUAGUUGGUGGGGUAAAGGCCUACCAAGGCAACGAUCUGUAGCUGGUCUGAGAGGAUGAUCAGCCACACUGGGACUGAGACACGGCCCAGACUCCUACGGGAGGCAGCAGUGGGGAAUUUUGGACAAUGGGGGCAACCCUGAUCCAGCCAUUCCGCGUGAGUGAAGAAGGCCUUCGGGUUGUAAAGCUCUUUCGGCAGGAACGAAACGGUGAGCUCUAACAUAGCUUGCUAAUGACGGUACCUGAAAAAGAAGCACCGGCUAACUACGUG
rnacentral:rRNA from 1 species